rnacentral:rRNA from 1 species
GAGCGGGAGAUCGGCGUUGCCGCGCCUGAGCCCGUCGUCCAGUACACACUGCCGGCGCCGCUGAUGCCAUCCCCGCCCUCGGUCAACGGCACCAUUGUCAGUGCCAGCACCAGCAGCAUCUCGGCCACGUCGCAGAGCCUCCUCGACAGCAUGUUCGCGCCGUUUUCCGUGGCCCAGGUGUCGCAGUACCCGGAGCGCGCACUGGCCGCCAAGCCCUCGUCGCUGUGCCUCGCGACCGACGCCGCGUCCGCCCAGUUCUCGGCCCCCGCGGCUGACUGGCAGCAACAGCUCCCGCCGCCGUCGCUGUCCCCGUCGGCGCACAUGUCAGCCACGGCGCUGCUUCAGAAGGCGGCGCAGAUGGGCGCCACCUCGUCGAGCUCCUCGUUCCUGCGUGGGCUGGGCCUGGACAUCUCGUCGUCAUCGCCGGCGUCGACGUCGUCAGGUCAGCAUCAACAGCACCACCACCACCACCACCACCACCAGGAGCCCAUGCAAAUGCAGUUCCCGAAGGGGUGGCUGCAGCAAUGGCCGCCGCGGUUGGAGCCCGAGCCAGCUCCGAUGAUGUCGGCCGGGCUGGGCCUCGGGUUACCAUACGACUCUACCGGCGGUCCGAUGGGGUUGCCGGAGCUCAUGAUGGGCCAGUCAUCACUGUUCAGCGUCAAGCCGGCCACGCUAGACUUCCUGGGGCUCAGGAUGAGCCCCACCGGUGCAACGACGAGCAGGGGCCUCCCCGUGUUCAUGCAGCCCAUGGGCGGCGCGGUCGGCAUGGCCCGGACCGGCAGCGGCGCGGCAGAGACGUUCGGCUCCGGCCGGGGCGCUCAGGCCAAGCCGUGGGAGAGGAACUCGAGCAGCUCGCCGAUCCUGUGA